UACGGGGGGGGCAAGCGUUGUUCGGAAUUACUGGGCGUAAAGGGCUCGUAGGCGGCCAACUAAGUCAGACGUGAAAUCCCCAGGCUCAACCUGGGAACUGCGUCUGAUACUGGAUGGCUUGAAUCCGGGAGAGGGAUGCAGAAUUCCAGGUGUAGCGGUGAAAUGCGUAGAUAUCUGGAGGAACACCGGUGGCGAAGGCGGCAUCCUGGGCCGGUAUUGACGCUGAGGAGCGAAAGCCAGGGGAGCAAACGGG
rnacentral:rRNA from 1 species